rnacentral:lncRNA from 1 species
GAGCACAGUCAGAAGAGAAGCCUUUGGGCAACUCGAUAGGAAUCAGAGGAGAAAGAUAGAGUCAUUGCCGUUCUAACCGCUGUCAGAAGACGUGAAGUGAGGGCGUGGUUCAAGUCACAUCGUAUGCUCGUCUUCAUAAAGGUUUGAGUUUGAUUGUUUGUUGCCAAAGAGAAGAGUUCAUUGUUUAGGUCCUACUCUGGGUCUGUAGCUGACAGCGGCAGUGAUUUUCUUAUCGAUUAUUGUAGAUUAAUAAGGCCCAAAACCGGUAGCGAGUAGAAUAAAGAAGUUGCUUCUAGAAUGCCGAUUACUAGGUAAAUCGCCCACUAUAUAUAGCACCUAUCGGACGGGGAAACUUUAUUGAAUUGAGUUCGGUCUAGAAGGUUCAAGCAAGGGAUGUGGAUUGAGUCCAAGUUCUGGAGAAAGAGGGGGCCUUUGUUUUUUCAUCUUUCCUAAAUCGAUCGAUCAAAUUCUUCAUAUCCGAAGCGCAGGAAGGAUCUGACUAGAAAGUCGUCUUGCUGAUGCGAUAGUCCUCUGGGUAUGGCCACAUUCGUCUCGACAAUAGGAUAGGGAAAGAAAAUCCAUAGACGAGACCAACUGGGACCGAACCUUUCUAUCUUCUUCUUUCUCUUUUUGUUCCCGCCUGCCGAGGACCUAUGUUUCAAUAACGAUGAAGGGCUACUAGAAGGGAAAGGGCUUCAGGAGAGAUGGUUAGAUUGGAUGGGCGUAGUUGAUCGAUCGAACUACGAUGAUUGGAAUGAAGACAGACAGACUUCCGUGCGAAAGACAGAACGGCAAAACUUUAUUAUUAUAUUAUUGCAUUUUUCCUAAACUUCGUCAAGCCUAUCCGCUCAUUUGUUCCAAACCAGAGUUUCUAGUUUCAAGAUCGCGCUUUUAGUACGCGUGUGGUGAGAUGUUCCAAGCCCGGUAUCUACUGAUUUUGCCAUUCCUAUGAUUCAAAGGAUUCACCAGCUAUAGGGCAGUUAGCGCAGACAUCAAGUAAGGGCUCGUAGGCUACUCAUGCCAAAUAUCCGAUUUUUUUCAGGGGGAAGAGAAGGGCUCUAGGUC